UAAUUUCCUUUGGAAGCUGGAUGGGAC
rnacentral:piRNA from 1 species